rnacentral:rRNA from 1 species
UAUUGCACAAUGGGGGAAACCCUGAUGCAGCGACGCCGCGUGAUUGAAGAAGUAUUUCGUUAUGUAAAGCUCUAUCAGCAUGGAAGGAAAUGACGGUACCUGACUAUGAAGCCCCGGCUAACUACAUUCCAGCAGCCGCGGUAAUACGUAGGGGGCAAGCGUUAUCCGGAUUUACUGGGUGUAAAGGGAGCGUAGGUGGCAUGGUAAGCCAGAAGUGAAAACCCAGGGCUCAACUCUGUGGAUUGCUUUUGGAACUAUCAAGCUAGAGUGCUGGAGGGGUAAGCGGAAUUCCUAGUGUAGCGGUGAAAUGCGUAGAUAUUAGGAGGAACACCGGUGGCGAAGGCGGCUUACUGGACAGAAACUGACACUGAGGCUCGAAAGCGUGGGGAGCAAACAGG